rnacentral:rRNA from 1 species
GAUGAACGCUGGCGGCGUGCCUAAUACAUGCAAGUCGAGCGAACGGACGAGAAGCUUGCUUCUCUGAUGUUAGCGGCGGACGGGUGAGUAACACGUGGAUAACCUACCUAUAAGACUGGGAUAACUUCGGGAAACCGGAGCUAAUACCGGAUAAUAUUUUGAACCGCAUUGUUCAAAAGUGAAAGACGGUCUUGCUUUCACUUAUAGAUGGAUCCGCGCUGCAUUAGCUAGUUGGUAAGGUAACGGCUUACCAAGGCAACGAUGCAUAGCCGACCUGAGAGGGUGAUCGGCCACACUGGAACUGAGACACGGUCCAGACUCCUACGGGAGGCAGCAGUAGGGAAUCUUCCGCAAUGGGCGAAAGCCUGACGGAGCAACGCCGCGUGAGUGAUGAAGGUCUUCGGAUCGUAAAACUCUGUUAUUAGGGAAGAACAUAUGUGUAAGUAACUGUGCACAUCUUGACGGUACCUAAUCAGAAAGCCACGGCUAACUACGUG